CCUACGGGAGGCAGCAGUGGGGAAUAUUGGACAAUGGGCGCAAGCCUGAUCCAGCCAUGCCGCGUGAGUGAUGAAGGCCUUCGGGUUGUAAAGCUCUUUUGGCGGGGACGAUAGUGACGGUACCCGCAGAAUAAGCCCCGGCUAACUUCGUGCCAGCAGCCGCGGUAAUACGAAGGGGGCUAGCGUUGUUCGGAAUCACUGGGCGUAAAGCGCACGUAGGCGGAUCUAUAAGUCAGGGGUGAAAUCCCGGGGCUCAACCUCGGAACUGCCUUUGAUACUGUGGGUCUUGAGUUCGAUAGAGGUGAGUGGAAUUCCUAGUGUAGAGGUGAAAUUCGUAGAUAUUAGGAAGAACACCGGUGGCGAAGGCGGCUCACUGGAUCGAUACUGACGCUGAGGUGCGGAAGCGUGGGGAGCAAACAGGAUUAGAUACCCUGGUAGUCCACGCCGUAAACUAUGGAUGCUAGCCGUCAGAUAGCUUGCUAUUUGGUGGCGCAGCUAACGCAUUAAGCAUCCCGCCUGGGGAGUACGGCCGCAAGGUUAAAACUCAAAGGAAUUGACGG
rnacentral:rRNA from 1 species